rnacentral:lncRNA from 1 species
GAAGUCUGACUCUAUAUAUAGAAUACACAUACAAUGCAAACUCAAGGUAUAUGGGCUUCGGAUUUCCUAUGAGGCCCAAUAUAAUACUUUCAUAGUUAACCAUUUAAGCCUAUUAAAUUGGGCCGAUUAAUCGGUUAAAUGACCGACUAAUCAGUAAAUGGGCCGAGUAAUCGGUUUAGCGGACCGACUAAUUGGCUAACGAUUUUGUUGGCCGAUUACGUCAAAAUCGCCUCGGAUGUCCG